GACAGAGGAUGCAAGCGUUAUCCGGAAUGAUUGGGCGUAAAGCGUCUGUAGGUGGCUUUUCAAGUCCGCCGUCAAAUCCCAGGGCUCAACCCUGGACAGGCGGUGGAAACUACCAAGCUGGAGUACGGUAGGGGCAGAGGGAAUUUCCGGUGGAGCGGUGAAAUGCGCAGAUAUCAGGAGGAACACCAAUGGCGAAGGCAGCUCGCUGGGACGGUACUGACGCUGAGGCGCGAAAGCGUGGGGAGCAAACAGG
rnacentral:rRNA from 1 species